GAUGACGAGGCACUACGGUGCUGAAGCAACAAAUGCCCUGCUUCCAGGAAAAGCCUCUAAGCAUCAGGUAACAUCAAAUCGUACCCCAAACCGACACAGGUGGUCAGGUAGAGAAUACCAAGGCGCUUGAGAGAACUCGGGUGAAGGAACUAGGCAAAAUGGUGCCGUAACUUCGGGAGAAGGCACGCUGAUAUGUAGGUGAAGCGACUUGCUCGUGGAGCUGAAAUCAGUCGAAGAUACCAGCUGGCUGCAACUGUUUAUUAAAAACACAGCACUGUGCAAACACGAAAGUGGACGUAUACGGUGUGACGCCUGCCCGGUGCCGGAAGGUUAAUUGAUGGGGUUAGCGGUAACGCGAAGCUCUUGAUCGAAGCCCCGGUAAACGGCGGCCGUAACUAUAACGGUCCUAAGGUAGCGAAAUUCCUUGUCGGGUAAGUUCCGACCUGCACGAAUGGCGUAAUGAUGGCCAGGCUGUCUCCACCCGAGACUCAGUGAAAUUGAACUCGCUGUGAAGAUGCAGUGUACCCGCGGCAAGACGGAAAGACCCCGUGAACCUUUACUAUAGCUUGACACUGAACAUUGAGCCUUGAUGUGUAGGAUAGGUGGGAGGCUUUGAAGUGUGGACGCCAGUCUGCAUGGAGCCGACCUUGAAAUACCACCCUUUAAUGUUUGAUGUUCUAACGUUGGCCCCUGAUCGGGGUUGCGGACAGUGUCUGGUGGGUAGUUUGACUGGGGCGGUCUCCUCCUAAAGAGUAACGGAGGAGCACGAAGGUUGGCUAAUCCUGGUCGGACAUCAGGAGGUUAGUGCAAUGGCAUAAGCCAGCUUGACUGCGAGCGUGACGGCGCGAGCAGGUGCGAAAGCAGGUCAUAGUGAUCCGGUGGUUCUGAAUGGAAGGGCCAUCGCUCAACGGAUAAAAGGUACUCCGGGGAUAACAGGCUGAUACCGCCCAAGAGUUCAUAUCGACGGCGGUGUUUGGCACCUCGAUGUCGGCUCAUCACAUCCUGGGGCUGAAGUAGGUCCCAAGGGUAUGGCUGUUCGCCAUUUAAAGUGGUACGCGAGCUGGGUUUAGAACGUCGUGAGACAGUUCGGUCCCUAUCUGCCGUGGGCGCUGGAGAACUGAGGGGGGCUGCUCCUAGUACGAGAGGACCGGAGUGGACGCAUCACUGGUGUUCGGGUUGUCAUGCCAAUGGCACUGCCCGGUAGCUAAAUGCGGAAGAGAUAAGUGCUGAAAGCAUCUAAGCACGAAACUUGCCCCGAGAUGAGUUCUCCCUGAGACUUUAAGUCUCCUGAAGGAACGUUGAAGACGACGACGUUGAUAGGCCGG
rnacentral:rRNA from 1 species